rnacentral:rRNA from 1 species
UACGGGGGGGGCAAGCGUUGUUCGGAAUUACUGGGCGUAAAGGGCUCGUAGGCGGCCAACUAAGUCAGACGUGAAAUCCCUCGGCUUAACCGGGGAACUGCCUCUGAUACUGGAUGGCUUGAGAUUGGGAGAGGGAUGCGGAAUUCCAGGUGUAGCGGUGAAAUGCGUAGAGUAUCUGGAGGAACACCGGUGGCGAAGGCGGCAUCCUGGACCAACACUGACGCUGAGGAGCGAAAGCCAGGGGAGCAAACGGGG